UACGAAGGGGGCUAGCGUUGCUCGGAAUUACUGGGCGUAAAGGGCGCGUAGGCGGAUGUUUAAGUCGGGGGUGAAAGCCCGGGGCUCAACCUCGGAAUUGCCUUCGAUAACUGGACAUUCUUGAGUACGGGAGAGGUGAGUGGAACUCCGGAGUGUAGAUGGUGAAAUUCGUAGGAUAAUUCGCAAGAACACCAGUGGCGAAGGCGGCUCACUGGCCCGGUACUGACGCUGAGGUGCGAAAGCGUGGGGAGCAAACAG
rnacentral:rRNA from 1 species